CUGGGACUUGUAGUCUCGCCCCCGCCCGCCCGCCGGCCGUUGCCCCCUCAGCCCCCGGAGGCAGGGUCCUGCGACCAGCACCCCGCGGGUCAGUUGCCUUCGUGCCACCUGGGCUCCAAGUCCUCGCCCUGCCGGAUGAAGCAAUGGUCUAUUUCUUUAUGGCAGUGUCUCAGAUCUUUUUAUAGGCCCUUGGAAAGUUCCCAGCCCAGUACCUGGCCAUUGUCCUAAGGAUAAAAUAGAACCACCUGUGUUUGGUGGGAGAAGGGCUGAGGGGGACCUCUCUGGACACUGCCCUCCCCAACCAGCAGCCAUGUAGAAAGAUGGCAAGACGAAGUCACUCAGUGGCCUUGAGGGACCAAAAGGAUCACGAUAACAUUGGUGACUUCUCUGGACCAGCCAUAGCCCUCUCCGCUGGUUUUUCCUGCAUGCUGGGGGCCUCAAAAUGACUGAAAUUGAAAAUAUUAUUCAUUCAUUUAUUCAGUAUUUACUGAGCCAUAAAUCAAUACAACGCUUAACGAAAGCAAUUUGGCAUCAUCUGCUAAAAUGACAACUGCAAAUACCCUUUGAUUCAGCGAUUCCACUUUCGAGAAUGUGUUUCAUGGAUGUAUUUAUUCUUACACUUAAUCAAAUCCAUAUAAGGUUAUCCAUUGCUGCAUUUUCAGGAAUUAAAAAAAAUUGGAAACAACUCAAAUGACCAUCAAUAGAGGACUGGUUACAAAAAUUAUUAUGUAUUCAUACAAUGGAAUAAUAUGCAGCUGUGAAAAUAAGAAUGGCACCCCUCUCUUUAGUCUUGUGGAAGGAGUGCCAAGAUACACUGUUGAAUUUUUUUUACAAGGCAAGGUGCAGAAUGCUGUAUAGUACUCUAUCUUUUAUGUAAGAAGGUGAGGAAAAUAAUAUACACACUUGGCUGGGCGCAGUAGCUCAUGCCUAUAAUCCCAACACCUUUAGUCCCAGCUACUCAAGAGGCUGAGGUGUGGGAGGAUUGCUUGAGCCCAGGAGGUUGAGGGUGCAGUGAGCUGUGGUUGCACCACUGCACUCCAGCCUGGCCAACAGAGCAAGGCUUUGUCUCAAAAAAAGAAAAGAAGAGAAGAGAAGAGAAGGGAAAAAGAAAAGAAAAGAAAAAAUAUACAUACUUAUUUGGAUGUACAUAAACCCAGGAAGGACAUUCAAGGAACAACUAACAGUGGUUAUCUAUGGGAAUGAAAUGUGUAACAGGUGCUGCUAACCCAGUGAGGUUUGUUCCCAGCAUCAUUCACCAUGGAA
rnacentral:lncRNA from 1 species